CACGUAUUUAGCCGGUGCUUCUUAGUCAGGUACCGUCAUUUUUCUUCCCUGCUGAUAGGGCUUUACAUACCGAAAUACUUCUUCACCCACGCGGCGUCGCUGCAUCAGGGUUUCCCCCCAUUGUGCAAUAUUCCCCACUGCUGCCUCCCGUAGGAGUUUGGGCCGUGUCUCAGUCCCAAUGUGGCCGGUCGCCCUCUCAGGCCGGCUACUGAUCGUCGGUUUGGUGGGCUGUUACCCCGCAACUGCCUAAUCAGACGCGGGCCCAUCCCAUACCGCUAAUGCUUUCCAUCCAGGGGCAUGCGCCCCCGCAUGUACAUGCGGUAUUAGCAGCCGUUUCCGGCUGUUAUCCCCCUGUAUGGGGCAGGUUACCCACGCGUUACUCACCCGUCCGCCACUCAGUCAAAGGCGCUCCUCCCGAAGGGAUUCCGCUCCAGUGCUUCGUCGACUUGCAUGUGUUAAGCACGCCGCCAGCGUUCAUCCUGAGCCAGGAUCAAACUCU
rnacentral:rRNA from 1 species